rnacentral:rRNA from 1 species
GACGAACGCUGGCGGCGUGCUUAACACAUGCAAGUCGAACGGAAAGGCCCUGCUUUUGUGGGGUGCUCGAGUGGCGAACGGGUGAGUAACACGUGAGUAACCUGCCCUUGACUUUGGGAUAACUUCAGGAAACUGGGGCUAAUACCGGAUAGGAGCUCCUGCUGCAUGGUGGGGGUUGGAAAGUUUCGGCGGUUGGGGAUGGACUCGCGGCUUAUCAGCUUGUUGGUGGGGUAGUGGCUUACCAAGGCUUUGACGGGUAGCCGGCCUGAGAGGGUGACCGGCCAAAUUGGGACUGGGAUACGGCCCAGGCUCCUUCGGGGGGCAACCGGUGGGAAUAUUGCACAAUGGGCGGAAGCCUGAUGCAGCAACGCCGCGUGCGGGAUGACGGCCUUCGGGUUGGAAACCGCUUUCGCCCGUGACGGAGCGGGAGUGACGGUAAUGGGUAAAGAAGCACCGGCUAACUACGUG